rnacentral:rRNA from 1 species
UACGAAGGGGGGCUAGCGUUGCUCGGACUCUGGGCGUAAAGCGCACGAGGCGAUUGUUAAGUCAGGGGUGAAAUCCUGGAGCUCAACUCCAGAACUGCCUUUGAUACUGGCGAUCUCGAGUCGGGAGAGGUGAGUGGAACUGCGAGUGUAGAGGUGAAAUUGUAGAUAUUCGCAAGAACACCAGUGGCGAAGGCGGACUCACUGGCCC